CCUACGGGAGGCUGCAGUGAGGAAUAUUGGUCAAUGGGCGUAAGCCUGAACCAGCCAAGUCGCGUGAGGGAUGAAGGUUCUAUGGAUCGUAAACCUCUUUUAUAAGGGAAUAAAGUGUGGGACGUGUCCUGUUUUGUAUGUACCUUAUGAAUAAGGAUCGGCUAACUCCGUGCCAGCAGCCGCGGUAAUACGGAGGAUCCGAGCGUUAUCCGGAUUUAUUGGGUUUAAAGGGUGCGUAGGCGGCCUUUUAAGUCAGCGGUGAAAGUCUGUGGCUCAACCAUAGAAUUGCCGUUGAAACUGGGAGGCUUGAGUAUGUUUGAGGCAGGCGGAAUGCGUGGUGUAGCGGUGAAAUGCUUAGAUAUCACGCAGAACCCCGAUGGCGAAGGCAGCCUGCCAAGCCAUGACUGACGCUGAUGCACGAGAGCGUGGGGAUCAAACAGGAUUAGAGACCCCGGUAGUC
rnacentral:rRNA from 1 species